AUCCCUGAGCAACUUUGCACCGCAGUCUCAGUCAGAGUUGAGGGUUUGUUUUCCUGCACGUCGCCGGCUGGUUCAGCUGCUCACCUCGCACGGAGGGGAGGAGGGGCACACGGGUUUGAGGCGGGGGACAAUGGACACUUCACACCAAGGGCUAAAACCGAAUUAUCUUUGUGUGUCUGAGCUCUGUACAGUGUCUGCUUCUCAUUUUCUUUUCUUCCAUGUGUGUCGGGAGGCAUGCUGGUGUGGAUUCUUUCAUUUGCUUCCUGUGAAAACACAACCAUGCAAGGAAACUCUGUAAAGCAAAGCAAAAACAUAAAAGUCGUGAGGAGAGGCGACCAUAACGAUGUCAUAUUUUGUAAAAAAAACUUUUUUUUUUUUUUGUUUUCUGGCUGUGAGAUGGACCUUCUGGCCACGCUGGCCGAAUCGACCCCCUUUACGGGGCUUAGGGACUCGUGAGGCCUUGUUUGAGACAUGAUUGAUGACUGCGUGAAGCUUCCUGCCAGCCAUUUUUAGUCUUUUAAUACAUGUGCUCACGUGUUAAUGAUUUAUGUAAUAAAAACAACAACAACAAAAAAAGAGUCCCCUACACCCUGAGACUGAACACUCAUAUUAUCAUUUCCGUCUCUUACCUAAACAUGUAUUUAUUUUUUUAAAUCUCUGUGAAAUUUAAUGUAUAAUCCUGGAUUUUUCAAUAUUAAAACUUUCUAGUGGAAUUUAAAAAAAAAA